rnacentral:rRNA from 1 species
UGGGGAAUCUUGGACAAUGGGCGAAAGCCUGAUCCAGCCAUGCCGCGUGAGUGAAGAAGGCCCUAGGGUUGUAAAGCUCUUUCAGCGGGGAAGAUAAUGACGGUAACCAAAGAAGAAGCCCCGGCUAAUUUCGUGCCAGCAGCCGCGGUAAUACGAAAGGGGCUAGCGUUGUUCGGAAUUACUGGGCGUAAAGCGCACGUAGGCGGCCUGCCAAGUUGGGGGUGAAAUCCCGGGGCUCAACCCCGGAACUGCCUCCAAAACUGGUAAGCUAGAGGAUGCGAGAGGAUAGUGGAAUUCCGAGUGUAGAGGUGAAAUUCGUAGAUAUUCGGAAGAACACCAGUGGCGAAGGCGACUGUCUGGCGCAUUUCUGACGCUGAGGUGCGAAAGCGUGGGGAGCAAACAGGAUUAGAUACCCCCGUAGUCC